ACUCUCUCAGCUCUGCAUAGUUACACUUGGUUUCACCCGUGUGACUUUCGUAAUGGGGAGAGAGAGAAAAGAUCUCCUCGGGACCUCAGACUGGCCUCACGGUGGUCUCUCUUUUCUCGAGGCGUGCAACAAUC